CUUUGAUUUUCUUUUUCGGUCUAACUAAGGAAAGGGGGUCUCCACUUCCAUUUUUGUUGAGAUGUGAUGACCACACAGGAAAGGGUUUCCACCAGAGCAACCCUUUCCUUCUCUUUCGCUCGGCAGCCACGGCAGCAGCUUAGAGGCGGCGACGUUAGUGUCUUGGUGGCAGCGAGUUUGCGGCUUAGGGAGGUGGAGGCGCGAAUGAGGGUAAUCGGCUUUGUCGCGGUGGCGCGAUGUUGAAGGUGAGGAAACGUGAGAGAAGCGACAGCCCCAGAGCGGCGGCAGUUUCCGAUUAAAAGAGAACGACGGAGUCAAGGAGGAUGGCUCGUGGUCACAGGGAUCGUCGCAGCAGUGACAGUUGACGAAAGCAGUGAUGACGGCUGAGAUCCGAAAGAGAAACGUCGAGCUGGGUGGUGUCCGCGGUGGAGGAGAAUGUUGCGGUGGUGGCGGAUAAGGGUCGCACGACAAAGAGGGUGGCUCGCGAUGGUGAUAUUGAACAAAGGGAAGGGUAUCUGCGGCCAAGGAUAGGCGGGAAUCAGGGCUCACAGUGGCUUACGGCGGAGGUGUUGAUGGCUGUCACGGUGGAAGAGACGGUGAGAUUGGAAGAGCGGCGGGGAAAGAUGAUAUCGAGAAUGAAACGAGAAUGGAG
rnacentral:sRNA from 1 species